rnacentral:lncRNA from 10 species
AUGCACACACAUAGACACACAGAUGUACACACACAUGAACACAUGCACACAGACACACAGAUGCACACACAUACAAGACAUGCAGACACACACGGACACACAGAGACACCAGACACACAUAUACACAUGCACACACAGAUGCACACACAUGAACACACAUGCACAGAGACACACAGAUGCACACACACACGAUAUGCAGACAUACAGGCCCAUACAUACACACACAGACACACGUACACAAGAGACCUAGUCCCUCGGAAUAUGCUGCGUCUCCAUGCAGGCAUCUGCUUUCCUA